UACAGAGGGUGCAAGCGUUAAUCGGAAUUACUGGGCGUAAAGCGCGCGUAGGCGGACCUGCAAGUCGGGGGUGAAAGCCCGAGGCUCAACCUCGGAACUGCCUUCGAUACUGCGGGUCUCGAGUCCGGAAGAGGCGAGUGGAAUUCCUGGUGUAGCGGUGGAAUGCGCAGAUAUCAGGAGGAACACCAAUAGCGAAGGCAGCUCGCUGGGACGUUACUGACACUGAGGCGCGAAAGCGUGGGGAGCGAACAGG
rnacentral:rRNA from 1 species